CUAUCUAGCCAGGUAUGUUGGGAUUAUAUGACGUGAAGAGAAAUAUGGAACUGGAUGCAAUUGAUUUCCACGAGUUCCUUUCACCUCUAUAACUAUUUAAAUUUAUACGACUGCUUUUUACUUCAAUUUCCUGUUCCGUGCAAUACUAUUCAAUCUCCACGUCAUGAUGGUCAUGUGACGUAAAUUCCCGUGUACGUAAUCGACGCAAGUUGUUAGACAACAGCAAUAACUAGUUACUGCAACAAAGCUCUUCGCCGGCAUCAAUCAAUGUUUGUUGACUAUCUGCAGAAGUAGUAGUAUAUUCGACAUUAUCGGCGGCGGAGCAAUUUUGAGGUGUUACGGUAUAAUACGAUUCGACUGAAGAAGACAGGGAAUACUCCUACUUCCCGGAACAUAUUAAGCUCGAAGCUCCCGGUUUGCUCCAAAUUCCCUGGAAUUGCUGAACGAAGAGUAGGAAGAGGUCCAGUGGCAUGCGAUAGGGCAUUUCCAGGCUUUGGCGGAGUGUGUCUUGAAUAUACGGGAUGGCGAUCACGGCCAACGGGAGUGGCAGCGGCGGCGGCGGAGGAGGCGGAGGGGCGGGAAGUUCCAGUACGGUCAGUCCGUUCGUCAUCGAGCACGACGAUGAUUCAGUAUUGGAUAACGAUUACCUAGAGGGUGGAACCAUCGAAGCCGACAAUCCGGCUCACAGCAACGAACCCACCACCGACCGCACACCUCUAACAGGAAACAUCGCAUCCUCCUCCUCAUCACGCCCCAACAUCACCGGCUCCUUCCUUACAUCCUCCAUCCCCGGCGAGGAUCGGCGCGCUCCACAAAACACCAUCGACGAGACUGUCUGGGCCACCUUAUCACGCGACCUGCUGGCCGUCUGGGAGAAAAUGCGGC
rnacentral:sRNA from 1 species